CGCGUCCCGCCCGCGCCGCCCUUGCGGGCCAGCGCAUAGUGGAGACCACCGCCUCCGUGAAGCAGCGCGAACGGGGUGCCCAGCAGCGCGUCCGCGCCGCCGAAGCUCAUCAUGGCCGGAGCAGGGAAGUGAUGGGAUGCAUUCUGGGCACCAAAGUUCCUUAUCUCCUCAUCCCCAAAGACUUCCCUAUAGGAGAUCAGUCUACAGAACGCUGAUGCAUUUUCUGGAUGUAAGAAGGCUCACAAGCAAGGAGGAAUGAUAGAGGAUUCAGGUGAAAGGAGAGCCCAAGAUGGAUCUAUUAAAGCCAAGAGGCCACAACCAUCAGAAUGCAGCUGCCUAUGGAUUCCAAGAAGCCCCAAGUAGGACUCUUGUGGCUGGAAAAAUGGUAUGAGGGCUGGAGCCCCAAGGUCAGUCCCCCAAAGAGCCCUUCAGGCUCACCUACAGGAAGCCAUCCCUGGCUUCCUACACUCCCAAUUUAGUAAAUCAUCCCCUCCUGGGUGUCCCAUCAUGUUCAUACCUAGCAUUGCACUUAGCACUCUGUGUGAAUGAACCAAUAGAUGACUAAAUUCCAUCAGUUCUGCAGCCAACGUGGGGUCUAGAGGUCAUUAAGAAUGAUUCUGUCCUGAGUCCUUGGGGUUCAAAUAACUUUCACCUUCUUCCUUAUGAUUCUUAACAUUUGGAAAAGAGUAGAAUCGCUUCUCAGCCUUUUGGCUAAGAUCAAGUGUGGAAGAGAGUAGAACAACAUCUUCAUUCUUCUGUCCAUCAUAUGAUUAUGAGUAUCUUGUUAUGUCACAGGCACACGCUAAAUGCUGAGGGUACAGAACCCCAUAAACCUCCAAAAUUGUCUCCCUGGACAAGGAUUCUCAAGUCCUUCUCAAAUCUGAGCUCAGCAUUUCCCAAGGGUGAUGGGCUUGGGAAAGGUAUUGAUAAUGUUAGGUGUUCUCCAAAAAGGAGAGGAAGAGAGGGAGUUUCAUGGCUAAAGGAGUUAAAGAGUGUUCUUGAAGCAUAUUUUCCUGGAGCCUAAAGUUGGUGAUGAACAUUGGGAAUCUCCCAGAAGGAAGUAUAGUGUACUAAGUUGUCCAAAAUUCCUUGCCCUCAGGUCCUUCUUGUCCCCAAGUAUCUCCAGAGCAAGGCUCCAGUGGUUCACAUGGAAGGACCCAGUUGGAAUUGGGCUUCAGCCUCUGCUGUCCUUAGACCUCAGUCUGUGAACAUCCACAAAGCAUUACUUACUCUAUUCAUGUAGCAUCUAUGGGAUUAGACUCUGUGGUAAGUACUGGGGAUUCAGGACAAUGAGACCCUAGUGAAAAAGAGAGAGAACACCCCUCCCCAUGUAUGCAGCCAAGAGAAUUCAGCCACCACUUUCUCCUUGAUAACUCCUCAAACCUUAGUCACUAGACAAGGAUUGCUGACCCUAUUUCAUAGUCAAGUAAACUGAGAGUAAAAAAGGAGUGAGGAAGUGGGAUACCUAUGUUGACUCAGUGCCAGGGCAGAGCCCAGUGUCUCAAAUCAUCAAGGCCUGCACUGGCACUGGACACACAGAGUGGAGACCUCUUUCUCUUUUUUUUUAAGACAGAGUCUCACUUUGUUGCCCUCGGUAGAGUGCUGUAGCAUCACAGCUCACAGCAAUCUCAGACUCUUGGGCUUAAGCGAUUCUCUUGCCUCAGCCUCCCAAGUAGCUGGGAAAACAUGCACCUGCCACAAUGUCCGGCUGUUUUUGGAGAUGAAAUCUUGCUCUGGCUCAGGCUGGUCUCAAACCUGUAAGCUCAGGCAAUCCAGCCACCUCGGUCUCCCACAGUGCUAGGAUUACAGGCGUGAGCCACUGCAUCAGGCCCAAGACCUAUCUCUUUUGUGCAGAGAGGCCCGCAUGGUCUGAUGGUAGGGAAAUAAGAGGUCCCCACAGAGGGAAUCGCAGCUUUCUGGGGCUGGGGUUGAUUAGGGUCUGGCCUCUGACAGGUCACCCAGCUGAGAGUCCCUAUGACCCAUGUUCCAACAUCAGCACAUCCUUUCUGUAAGAGGCCACUUACUGGCCUGGAUACCCUGCACCUCUAUGGAAACAUCAUGUGACUAUCUGGGGUACUUCACUAAACUCCUUGUUCUCUUUUCCUGCUUGCUGCUUUUCCAUUGCACUUGGCUUUUUCUGACAUGCUACUAUGGGUCUUAGUUACCUUGUCUCCUCCCACCAAAAUGGAAGCUUCGUAAGGUCAGGGAUUUUUGUCUGUUUGCUGAUUUUCCCAGUGUUUGGUGUAUUGGCACAGUAGGUGCUUAACACAUAAUUGUAGAAUGACUGUGAGGCUCUGUCUGAGAGGCCGUUGACCACCUGGACAUUUCAGCGCGAGGCACAUCCAGACAGUCCCUAGCCUGCUCUGCUCUCAGAAGGGGGCCACCUACAGCAUGACCGAGGACAAAGGCUUGAAAGGGGCCCCUGCUCUUAGGCCUGAAGCCUCCCAGCCUGAGCUGUCACAUUUGCUAAAGCUCAGACCUUGCCUACUCCAUGACCUGCAAACUCACGCCUCUCCUAGUAUUACUUUUUCCUUUUUGAAUUCAGCGAUUCUUCUUAUGUAUCUGUGAAGAGCUAAGCAUUUCUUUCUUCUUGCCUCUUCCCCCUGAGUGUUCAUCAUGUCCCACAUUUUCUGUCUUUCCUCUUGGCCCCUCCUUUCUCCACUUUCUGUUUCCUUUUUCCUCCAACUUUCUGUCCUCCUUAUCCCUUUUCCUCUUCCACUCUCCCUCUUCUCCCUCCUUAGAGGUGUCUUCUUUUUGCCAGGCUUGAAUCUGAUUUCUAGUAAAGGGGAGGCAGCCUCCGCACUCUUACUCCCUUUAGGAAGCAAAUAGUGAAAUUGAACUAGUUUGGUUUUGCAUAAGCCUCUUCUGCCUAAGUUCCAGCCCCAGUCUUAACCACAGAGGAAGCCCUGCAGCAGGCCUACUAGCCAAGCCAUCUGCCACCCUGGUACUGCACUGAAUGAGAGCCUGAAUUCAGCCCCAAAGGCCCGAAGCUGGUGCAUGGAUUCACUGUCUCUCCUGUUCUGGUUCCUGUUGUGAGUGAUUAUGAAUGAAUGAUUCUUUGCUGGUGGUUCCUGAGACUGAGAAUGAGACUGUUCUUUGAUCUUUGCUGAUGGCAACUGAGUGGGACUUGCUAAGUUGUAAGUGCUUUGGGGCUGUCACUGCUGUUGUUACCUAGAGUAAGAGGCUAAGUGUUGGUAGGAAUGAAGGCUGUCAUCUGAGGAAGGGAGAAGAUGCUUUUAUGUCUGGCCCUUCUUAUCUCUGCAGCCCUGUGAAGUAGAUACCAUUAUUUAUCCCCACUUCGUGGUUUGGGAAAUGAAGGCUCAGAAAUGUUAGAUAACCGACCUCAGAUUACACAGUUAAUAAAUGGUGGAUCUGGGAUUUGAACCAAGGUCUGAUAGACUGUACAGCAGGUAUACAGAACUUUGUCAUCAAGUCACACAUUCAGAGGAUGGCCCAACUGGACCCAGCACUUUCCUGGUUCUGUCAUGGCUGACCAGGGGCUUUGCUCUAGGGGUUCUUUUUGGCACCUUAGUGGGAGCAAAAGGGAUUGAGAAUUGGCUUUGGCUUUGGUUUGUUUAUUUUCCCCCAGGUUCUUACAUUCUCUUGGGUUGUUUUGGGAGGAGGAGACUUCCUAAGCAGUAUAGUCAGGAAGUUAAAAUUAUGGCCAGCUCAGCUUUCUGGAUGACUACAGCUAAGGAGACAGAUGAAAUACAAAGCAGUCUUGGAACAAUGAUUGAUAUUCCUGGUAUAAAUCUUGAAUAAUAAAGAAAGUGGUUUUAGCAUCCUCCAUGUGGUGAGCACCUGCCUGCUGUGUUCUAGCUACCUAUGUACCUGGUGUCUGCGACACUUCUGCCAGGUGUGCAGGGUCAUCAUCCUCCACAGAGUAGGACACAGAGGUCAGAGAAAGAAAGUGACCAGAUGAGCUCACAGGGUAAGAUGGUGGAGGGGCUGUGUUUCCCAAUGUCCAUAAAAAAAAAGAAAAAAAAAAGGUUUCAGUGAUGGUUCAUUUCUUUGUUCUGGAGGAGAAAGAGAUCCAUGGUACAUUUUUGAAAGAUUCUAUGCCAGCGUGUUUAAAUUGAGAUGUUGGGACCUGAGAAUUAAGAGCUGGAUAAGAGAGUUCAUUCCUGAUGAUCAGUGUCGACUGGUAAAUAAGGUAUUACUGGGCCUUAACAGAAGUCCCUGCAAGUGGGCACUGCCUCAAGCUUGGUGAACGAGAAGCUUGCCCUGCUCCAGAGGCAGCCACACCCUGGCCUGUCCGUCUGUAGCCAAGCUGUGUGGGGACCUACAGGACAUGGUGGGGAGGGGUUGCCUGAUGUUACUGCGAGGUAGCAGAUACCAACCUGGGAGAGAUGUGCCAAGAGAGUUUCUGAAACCUCUGCCUCAGCCCCAAGCUAGACACCUGAUAUGGACGGAAGACUGCAGGAGCCAGGAGCGGACCUGGACCAUAUACCAGUGAAGGUGCCACUGAACUGCCUGUUGGCAUCUGGGGAGGUUAAUGGUAAAGGAAGGAAGAGGAAAAGUGGAUCUUGAGGUCUUUGCUAUCUUUGUCACCAUUUUUUGUUGUUGUUGUUGUUUAGCAGGCUGGGUUCGAACCUGCCAGCCCCGAUGUAUGUGGCUGGCACUCUAACCACUGAGCUAUGGGCACUGAGCCUCUUUGGUGUCUUUGGAGGCAGAUGAUAGAGAGGCGUCACAGCUCACAGCAACCUCAAACUCUUGGGCUCAGUGAUUCUCUUGCCUCAGCCUCCCAUGUAGCUGGGACUACAGGUGCCUGCAACAACACCCAGCUGUUUUUUUUUUUGUAGUUGUCAUUGUUGUUUGGAAGGUCCAGGCUGGGUUUGAACGUGCCAGCCCUGGUGCAUGUGGCUGGCACCCUAGCCGCUGAGCUACAGGCGCUGAGCUGAGAUAAUGAACUUUUUAAUAAAAAAAAAAAAUGUCUUUUUCUAUAGAGAUGGAGUCUCCCUAUGUUGCUCAAGCUGGUCUGGAACUUCUGGCUUCAAGUGGUGCUAAUGCCUUGGCCUCCCAAAGUGCUGGGAUUACAGCUCCACAACAACCCACUCUAAGAAGCUUUGGUGAGCAAACUGAGGCCUGAAGAGGCUAAGCCACUUGUCCAAGCACAGAACCAGGAUUCACAACUGCAGUCUGGCUCUAGAAUGCCACCCUGUCCCACCUCAGGACUGGCCCUCUCCCGGGAAUGCCUUCCUCCCUCAUCCUCCAGGUCCUUUGCUCCAUGAUGCUGAGUUCCCUGACCGUUAUGUAAGUGCUCGUCCUGGAAUCUAGGUGCUGACAUGUGCUGGAGUCCCUGGUGCCCAUGCCUCCUGACACGUCCUAGACCAUGAGAGAUGGGGACGGGCUGCACCCAGAGAUCAUGAUGUGUGCAAUGGGUAAACAAAUGCUGAGGACAUAAACACUUGAGGACUGCACACAAGAAUGUUCCCUGAUGGCAGGAUGGGGCUGGUGUGCCCUCCACACCCUGAAUCUCUUCUACCUUGUAGGCCCACCAAGAAGUUCUUGAUUCUGCCAUAUUCUUUUUUUUUUUUUUUUUUUUUGAGAUAGAGUCUCACUUUGUCACCCUGGGUAGAGUGCCGUGAUGUCAUAGCUCAUAGCAACCUCAAACUCUUGGGUUCAAGUGGUCCUCUUGCCUUAGCCUUCCAAGUAGCUGGGACUACAGGCACCCACCACAGUGCCUGGCUAUUUUUUCUUUCUUUUUUUUUUUUUUUUUGAGAUGGGGGUCUCACUCUUGCUCAGGCUGGCCUCAAACUUGUGAGCUCAAGCAGUCUACCUCUCUCAGCCUCCCAGAGUGCUAGGAUUACAGGCGUGAGCCACUAUGUCCAGCUACUGCCAUAUUUUUACACCCUGAACUUCCUGUCUGAAGUCCUUUCUCCAUUUCAGUAUUUAUUGUGUCCACCCUUUGGGUAACUGCUCCUAAUCCUUCAGGUAUUCCAUGUCCUUCAGGGAUCUUUUUCCAACCCCAGAGUGGUGAUAACGGCUUCCUCUGGGCCCCCAGUAGCUCCUGCCUUUCCCUCUUUCUAAUCCUAACACUUCUAAAGGGCUACUUAUUUGUGUCCUCAUUGGACUGUGAGCUCCCUAAGGGCAAGAGCCAUCUCUUUUUUUUUUUAUUAAAUCAUAGCUGUGUACAUUGAUAUGAUCAUGGGGCCAGAGCUAUCUCUUAUGCAGUAUUGUAUCCUGGGCUUGGUACCAGAGUAUUGGUAAAGUUUGUUGAAUGAAUAAAUGUCUAAAUUUCAAUGGCGUAUUCCACGUUAUUCAUCUUUUUUUUUUUUUGUCUUUAGAGACAGAGUCUCACUCUGUGCCCUGGGUAGAGUGCCAUGGCAUCAUAGCUCACAGCAGCCUCAAACUCUUGGGCUUAAGCAAUCCUCUUGCCUCAGCCUCCAGAGUAGCUAAAACUACAGGUACUUGCCACAACAACAUACUAAUU